rnacentral:rRNA from 1 species
GAUGAACGCUGGCGGCGUGCCUAAUACAUGCAAGUCGAGCGAAUGGAUUAAGAGCUUGCUCUUAUGAAGUUAGCGGCGGACGGGUGAGUAACACGUGGGUAACCUGCCCAUAAGACUGGGAUAACACUGGGAAACCGGGGCUAAUACCGGAUAACAUUUUGAACCGCCUGGUUCGAAAUUGAAAGGAGGCCUCGGCGGUCACUUAUGGAUGGACCCGCGUCGCAUUAGCGAGUUGGUGAGGUAACGGCUCACCAAGGCAACGAUACGUAGCCGACCUGAGAGGGUGAUCGGCCACACUGGGACUGAGACACGGCCCAGACUCCUACGGGAGGGAGCAGUAGGGAAUCUUCCGCAAUUGACGAAAGUCUGACGGAGCAACGCCGCGUGAGUGAUGAAGGCUUUCGGGUCGUAAAACUCUGUUGUUAGGGAAGAACAAGUGCUAGUUGAAUAAGCUGGCACCUUGACGGUACCUAACCAGAAAGCCACGGCUAACUACGUGCCAGCAGCCGCAGUAA